rnacentral:rRNA from 1 species
CAGCCGCCACGGGAAUACGAAGGGGGCUAGCGUUGUUCGGAAUUACUGGGCGUAAAGGGCGCGUAGGCGGCCAUUCAAGUUAGAUGUGAAAGCCCUGGGCUCAACCUAGGAAUUGCAUUUGAUACUGUUUGGCUUGAGUUCGGGAGAGGUGAGUGGAAUUCCCAGUGUAGAGGUGAAAUUCGUAGAUAUUGGGAAGAACACCAGUGGCGAAGGCGGCUCACUGGACCGACACUGACGCUGAGGCGCGAAAGCGUGGGGAGCAAACAGGAUUAGAUACCCCAGUAGUCCCUGUCUCUUAUAC